CCAGCCUAUCACAGGCUGACACAUAGAGACAGACAACUAUACAAUACAAUACAAUACAACUGUAUAGACUGUGGGAGGAAGCCGGAGCACCCGGAGUAAACCCACCCUGAACAGGUUGCCAGCCUAUCACAGACUGACACAGAGACAGACAACUAUACAAUACAACACAACUGUACAGACUGUGGGAGGAAAUGCUCACAUUUUCACCUAUGGUCAAUUUAAAGCCAACAAUUAACCUGCAUGUUUUUGGACUUUGGGAGGAAACCGGAGCACCCGGAGAAAACCCACGCUAAUCCUCUCCUCCAGAGGCAAUUUAAGUGCACUUCUCAUAGAGGUAAAUUAUCCCAUGUCUGUAGAUGUCAGCUGGCAUGUGUCCUGAUACGACUGAUAUGCGAUCACCGUCAGCCUUGAUGGUAGUACCCUUCAUAGGAUCAGAAAACAAAUAGGACCACAUGUGCCCGGAGUCUUCGUCACUGUCUCUCUGACAAAUUACAGAGGACAGGGAGUAGACCUGUGUUUUGUUUUCUCCAACAGGAAUUACUAUGUGAGGAGUUGGAUCCACGGGGUCUCUGAGUACCGUGCACAAAGCAUUUUCCGCUCGAGACAGAUUCAGGGUGAGAAUGUCAGGGACGUUAUCCCACACUUCUUGUCUCUCUGCUGCGGAGCCACAUGCGUCACAGUAUCUUGCACCCUGGCCUUCUUUGAUAGCAUGUCUGAGAAGAGAGGCAGUUGAACCAUACAGACAUGGUGAAGGUAGAAAAUAAAUGCUGCCCAGGUUCGUGGUGCAUUUACAACAGGUUCUUUUACAUUCUUCACACUUGCAUUCCUCUGUCACCUGAGUAGUUGUUCGUACCCCACAGUCAUUUAACCAAGCCAGCACAUGUUGUAAUAAAUCCAGUGGAUCAAUAGUCUGUGAAAAGCACGAUGACGGCACUCUGUAGCUCAAUUCUGCCAAAAUCUCAGCGAGUUCUGAUAGAAUGAAACUCCUCCCUGGGUUGUGGAGGGCUUCCAAAAACAGUCUCACAAAUGCUGGUGAUGUUGAGAGUUGUGUCAAAUACUCUGGUUGUAGUUUCAUCAAUUUCUCCCGCACAACUUUCAGGUUUAGUGCAGCUUGCAAUGUUGCAUUCAUGCAAAAAUGGUUGUAUCUGUUUGGAAAUUUGCAGAUCUCAUUGCUGAUUCUUGAGUCGGCCUCUGAUUCUCUGGUGAUAUGGUCAGUGGUACCAGCAGGUGGGAGGAUUUCUUCAUCUCCAAUGUUCAACUCGUCGUAACUGAUUUCUUGAACUGAACUGAUAUCUUCCAUUUGUGGUGCAGGAACAGCUGCACAUUCUCCAGCAGUGCUUGUUCUUGGGUCGGCCUCUGAUUCUCUGGUGAGAUGGUCAGUGGUACCAGCAGGUGGGAGGAUUUCUUCAUCUCCAAUGUUCAACUCAUUGUAACUGAUUUCUUGAACUGAACUGAUUUCUUCCAUUUGUGGUGCAGGAACAGCUGCACAUUCUCCAGCAGUGCUGGUUCUUGGGUCGGCCUCUGAUUCUCUGGUGAUAUGGUCAGUGGUACCAGCAGGUGGGAGGAUUUCUUCAUCUCCAAUGUUCAACUCUUCGUAACUGAUUUCUUGAACUGAACUGAUAUCUUCCAUUUGUGGUGCAGGAACAGCUGCACAUUCUCCAGCAGUGCUGGUUCUUGGGUCGGCCUCUGAUUCUCUGGUGAUAUGGUCAGUGGUACCAGCAGGUGGGAGGAUUUCUUCAUUUCCAAUGCUCAACUCAUUGUAACUGAUUUCUUGAACUGAACUGAUUUCUUCCAUUUGUGGUGCAGGAACAGCUGCACAUUCUCCAGCAGUGCUGGUUCUUGGGUCGGCCUCUGAUUCUCUGGUGAUAUGGUCAGUGGUACCAGCAGGUGGGAGGAUUUCUUCAUUUCCAAUGCUCAACUCAUUGUAACUGAUUUCUUGAACUGAACUGAUUUCUUCCAUUUGUGGUGCAGGAACAGCUGCACAUUCUCCAGCAGUGCUGAUGCUUGAGUCGGCCUCUGAGUCUCUGGUGAUAUAGUCAGUGGGACAGGCAGGUGAAGUGAUUUCUUUAUCUCCAAUGCUAAACUCGUCAUAACUUCUAUCUGGAACUGAACUGAUUUGUUCCAUUUCUUCAUCUCCACUGCUGUCAUCUUUACUGAGGUAUGGCUCAAGGAGCCUUCUGACAGUUUUAGUGACAAUAGCACCCACAAGAAAACCCAGACCUAGAAACAUUAUGCUGAGAGAGUUUGUCUAAAUUUGUGAAACUCAGGGGGAAUAAAAAACUGUUCUUUCCGUGAUCGAACAGUCCUGUUUGGUUUGGUUUGGUCUUGAUAUUGCCAAUAUCCAGAUCAAGUUGAUGUCGUUAAUGUGAUACACAAGUUUGUGUCUGUGUGAGUGGUGGGAAAAUGGAGAUUGGCAACAAAAUGCUUUAAGCCAUUGAUUCAAUUCCAUUUAUCUGGAAUUCCUCCUUUGAUGUGGAACUCGUCCUUUGUGUCAUCAACUGUGACGUCAUAAUGUUCUGGAAUGGAACGGAUUUCUGUGCAGCAUCAUCACAGAGAAACGUUACCGGGGCAACCGCUCCUCCUCCCCCACGGUCACAACAACAAGCUAACGUUAGCUAACGUUUGUUUACAUUUGUAUUGGACAUAAUCAGCAAUGUUGUAUUGACAUUUGGCGACUGAGGGCUAACCGCUAACGUUAGCCAGCAACCAGCAACACAAGACAAUCUAAUAACUCAAGUCUUAUACCUCAUAUGUGAUAGUGGUAUCUGAUCGGACUCUGCAGGGGUCUGUUACAGUCAACAAGAAUGUACAAACAAUGUGACAUCUAUGUUGAUUACAACCAGCUGUGACCGGCUCAUAUUGAUUGAACUGAAGAUGAAUUAAGACAGUAAAAGACAGCACUCAUGAUGAUGACACAGUAGUUAUGAAAUGCAGUGACGUGUGGGACGCCAUUUUUUCUUGUUUACUUUGCUUUCACUGCUUCAUAAGGUAAGCAUGGCGGCCCGCAUCAUCGUAAAAUAUAUUAAUUAAAAACACCCUUCCAGUUAAUCUGUUCAACUAAAGUGAUAAUUAAGAUGUUGUCUUUCACUUUGGCGUGUGUUGGAAAAGUGAGAAGAUAUGUUUUAUAUGUAAAUAGUGGGCGUAAUGUUGGCUUGUUACUGUGUACGAGCAGAGCGCCCUCUCGGGGGAGGAGAACAUAGUGCAGGCUGGAGAAUUAUCCUGUUUAGUUAUUGUCUGAUAUCUGUCUUAUUGUUUCAUUUAAAUUAUUUUCACGUUAGAUCUUAUGUUAAGAGUGCCUUAUAUCAUUUUAUGUGUUGUAAUUUACUUUCAGUGUUAGAUUAUUAUUUUUCUCUGUUUACUUUUGUACUAGAAUAUAUUUUCCUCAUGGAGGUUUACUUUGCUUUCACUGCUUCAUAAAGUUGUGGACCAACAGUUGAGAUGACAGCCGAUGUUGUGGACGAAUAAAGUGUUCCCGGUCUCGACCA